ACCGGUUGAUCCUGCCGGAGUCCACUGCUAUCGGAUUGGGACUAAGCCAUGCUAGUCAAGCAGCGAACUAUGACAGCUGCUGGCGAAAUGCUCAGUAACGCGUAGUUAGCCUACCUUUAGGACGGGACCAACGGGGGGAAACUCCCAUUAAUGCCCGAUAGAUUAGUCCGGCUGGAAUGCGGGCUAAUCUAAAGCGUCAUGUUCAUGUUCAUGUCAGGCCUAAGGAUGGGACUGCGUCCGAUUAGCUAGUAGGUGGGGUAGAGGCCCACCUAGGCGAGGAUCGGUACGGGCGGUGAGAGCCGUAGCCCGGAGAUGGCCACUGAGAUAACGGGCCAGGCCUUACGAGGUGCAGCAGGCGCGAAACCUCACCCAUGCGCGAAAGCGUGAGUGGGCCAAUCCGAGUGCCACCCGUCGUGGUGGCUUUUGUUAAGUGUACAAAGCUUUUCGAAUAGGGAGAGGACAAGACUGGUGCCAGCCCCCGCGGUAAAACCAGCUCUUCGAGUGGUGGACAUGAUUAUUGGGCCUAAAGCGAUCGUAGCCGGGCUUGCAAGUUUCCAGAUAAAGCUCACGUCUUAAGCGUGAAUCCCCUGGGAAUACUACAAGCCUUGGGACCGGGAUAGGAAGUGGGUACGUAUCCGGUAGGGGUAAAAUCCUAUAAUCGGAUACGGACCACCGGUGGCGAAGGCGCACUUCUGGAACGGGUCCGACGGUGAGGGUCGAAAGCCAGGGUAGCGAGCCGGAUUAGAUACCCGGGUAGUCCUGGCCGUAAACUAUGCGCGUUAGGUGUUGCGGUGCACACGAAGCAUCGCGGCGCCGAAGCGAAGGCGUUAAACGUGCCGCCUGGGAAGUACGCUCGCAAGGGUGAAACUUAAAGGAAUUGGCGGGGGAGCACCACAAGGGGUGGAGCCUGCGGUUUAAUUGGACCCAACGCCGGAAAGCUUACCUGGGCAGACAGCAUAAUGAAAGUCAGGUUGAAGGCCUUACUUGAAGAGCUGAGAGGAGGUGCAUGGCCGUCGCCAGCUCGUGCCGUGAGGUGUCCUGUUAAGUCAGGCAACGAGCGAGACCGGAGCCCUUAGUUGCCAGCGACAAAUCCGUUUGGCUCGGGUACACUAAGGGGACCGCCAGUGACUAAACUGGAGGAAGGAUCCGUCCACGGCAGGUCAGUAUGCCCCGAUAGCUCAGGGCCACACGCGGGCUACAAUGGCACGGACAAUAGGUUCCGACACCGAAAGGUGAAGGUAAUCCCGAAACCGUGUCUCAGUUGGAAUUGAGGUUUGGAACCCAACCUCAUGAACUUGGAAUCCCUAGUAGUCGGGUGUCAUCAUCGCCCGGCGAAUACGUCCCUGCUCCUUGCACACACCGCCCGUCGCAGCAUGCGUGGCGGGUUGGCCUGAGGCUGCGGUUUCGUGCCGUAUUCGAGGGUUUAUUCGCUGAGCAGGCUGAAGUCGUAACAAGGUA
rnacentral:rRNA from 1 species